UACGGAGGGUGCAAGCGUUACUCGGAAUUAUUGGGCGUAAAGGGCGCGUAGGCGAUUUGAAAAGUCUUGUGUGAAAGCCCCGAGCUUAACUCGGGAAGUGCACAAGAAACUGUUGAAUUUGAGUUCCGGAGAGGAAGGCAGAAUUCCCGGUGUAGCGGUGAAAUGCGUAGAUAUCGGGAGGAAUACCAGUGGCGAAGGCGGCCUUCUGGACGGAUACUGACGCUGAGGCGCGAAAGCCAGGGGAGCAAACGGG
rnacentral:rRNA from 1 species